rnacentral:rRNA from 1 species
CCUAAUACAUGGAAGUCGAGCGAGCUGAAUUCAAAGAUUCCUUCGGGAUGAUUUGUUGGACGCUAGCGGCGGAUGGGUGAGUAACACGUGGGCAAUCUGCCCUAAAGACUGGGAUACCACUUGGAAACAGGUGCUAAUACCGGAUAACAACAUGAAUCGCAUGAUUCAAGUUUGAAAGGCGGCGCAAGCUGUCACUUUAGGAUGAGCCCGCGGCGCAUUAGCUAGUUGGUGGGGUAAAGGCCUACCAAGGCAAUGAUGCGUAGCCGAGUUGAGAGACUGAUCGGCCACAUUGGGACUGAGACACGGCCCAAACUCCUACGGGAGGCAGCAGUAGGGAAUCUUCCACAAUGGACGCAAGUCUGAUGGAGCAACGCCGCGUGAGUGAAGAAGGUUUUCGGAUCGUAAAGCUCUGUUGUUGGUGAAGAAGGAUAGAGGCAGUAACUGGUCUUUAUUUGACGGUAAUCAACCAGAAAGUCACGGCUAACUACGUGCCAGCAGCCGCGGUAAUACGUAGGUGGCAAGCGUUGUCCGGAUUUAUUGGGCGUAAAGCGAGCGCAGGCGGAAUGAUAAGUCUGAUGUGAAAGCCCACGGCUCAACCGUGGAACUGCAUCGGAAACUGUCAUUCUUGAGUGCAGAAGAGGAGAGUGGAACUCCAUGUGUAGCGGUGGAAUGCGUAGAUAUAUGGAAGAACACCAGUGGCGAAGGCGGCUCUCUGGUCUGCAACUGACGCUGAGGCUCGAAAGCAUGGGUAGCGAACAGGAUUAGAUACCCUGGUAGUCCAUGCCGUAAACGAUGAGCGCUAGGUGUUGGGGACUUUCCGGUCCUCAGUGCCGCAACAAACGCAUUAAGCGCUCCGCCUGGGGAGUACGACCGCAAGGUUGAAACUCAAAGGAAUUGACGGGGGCUCGCACAAGCGGUGGAGCAUGUGGUUUUAUUCAAAGCAACGCGAAGAACCUUACCAAGUCUUGACAUCCUGCGCUACAC